GAAUCUUCCGCAAUGCGCGCAAGCGUGACGGAGCAAUGCCGCGUGCAGGAUGAAGCCCUUCGGGGUGUAAACUGCUGUCGGAGCUUAGGAAGCAAGUGACCAAGCUCGAAGGAAGAGACGACUAACUCUGUGCCAGCAGUCGCGGUAAUACAGAGGUCUCGAGCGUUCAACGGAUUCAUUGGGCUUAAAGCGUACGUAGGCGGAUCUGCAGGCGUCGUGUGAAAGCCCUCGGCUCAACCGAGGAAUUGCAUGGCGAACCGCAGGUCUUGAGACAAGUAGGGGCGGUCGGAACGAUAGGUGGAGUGGUGAAAUGCGUUGAUAUCUAUCGGAAUGCCGAAGGUGAAAGCAGGCCGCUGGGCUUGUUCUGACGCUGAGGUACGAAAGCGUGGGGAGCAAACGGG
rnacentral:rRNA from 1 species